UCCCUCGUAGUCUAGUGGUUAAGAUUCUGCUCUUCCACUGUAGGGGACCUGGGUUCAAUACCUGGUUGGGGAA
rnacentral:tRNA from 1 species